ACGCUGGCGGCGUGCUUAAUACAUGCAAGUCGAGCGGAGUCAUUCCUUCGGGGAUGGCUUAACGGCGGACGGGUGAGUAACACGUAGCCAACCUGCUUGCAAGAUCGGGAUACCAUUCGGAAACGAAUGCUAAUACCGGAUACACAAUUUCUUCGCAUGGGGAGAUUGGGAAAGACGGCGCAAGCUGUCACUUGCAGAUGGGCCUGCGGUGCAUUAGCUAGUUGGUGGGGUAACGGCUCACCAAGGCGACGAUGCAUAGCCGACCUGAGAGGGUGAUCGGCCACACUGGGACUGAGACACGGCCCAGACUCCUACGGGAGGCAGCAGUAGGGAAUCUUCCGCAAUGGACGAAAGUCUGACGGAGCAACGCCGCGUGAGUGAUGAAGGUUUUCGGAUCGUAAAGCUCUGUUGCCAGGGAAGAACAGCCAGGCGAGUAACUGCGCUUGGAAUGACGGUACCU
rnacentral:rRNA from 1 species